rnacentral:misc_RNA from 1 species
GGGAAAAGAGUACAUAAAGAGAUAGGGUUUUGAGAGUUGCAUUGAGUAAUGACGUAGAUCUUAAUCAUUUGCAAUUAACAAAACUACCUUACACCAGUUAGAAAGUUUUCUAAAUACUUGAGCUUCAAGAUCUACUACUACCAUUGCUGAAUGUAUGUUACGUCACAGGUGACAUACCAAAACAUGAUCAAGAGUCCUUAGAAAUACCAUGAUCAGCAGCAUCUAACCCUUGAUUCCUUGGUAGAAGAUAGGAUGGAAGAAAUGACGGGAUUACAAGUGCCAGUGCUAAGCAGAGCACCACCAGCACUACGACAUACCAUGCUUGAUGAGGGAUGCCAAAUAGUAGCUCAUCACAUACUAUAUUAUAUAUGAUGUGCUCUCUCUCCUUUACCCCAGGUAUUGCAACAAUUCCCUCAGGCUCCACAUUUACCAGGACAAACAUUUUUCCCUCGUCACCAAGCAAUUGAAGACUGUUGUCCGCCUGAAAAAUAAUCUUUUCAGUAUUCAGUAACUUCCUACCAACAUUUAGCCCUGAACUUCCUUUACUUAGUUGUAGAGUAAAAGUAGCUGGUAUAGAAGCAGGAUAUGAGAUCUUCACUUCAUACCACUUAUUGGAAUUCAACCCUUGCAGUUCAUAUAGUCUCGAUCCGGAUUGUAAUGGAAGAGUUUCCUUCAUUAGCUCCUGUCCGACUUGCAAAACUUUUAUAUCCAUCAUGUAUCCCUGAGCGAAUGAGAUUGGGGCUAGAACAAGUAUGAGAAUGGAGAAACAACUGCAGAGUGAAGUUGAAACGCUCCUCAUAGUCGUUUGAUCUGAUUUUCAAUGAUGUAUACUGUAUAUACGCAUAAAUCCAGACCUCUGUAUCAGAGAUACCAUAG